rnacentral:rRNA from 1 species
UGGGGAAUUUUCCGCAAUGGGCGAAAGCCUGACGGAGCAAUACCGCGUGGGGGAGGAAGGCUCUUGGGUUGUAAACUCCUUUUCUCAGGGAAGAAGGUCUGACGGUACCUGAGGAAUCAGCAUCGGCUAACUCCGUGCCAGCAGCCGCGGUAAUACGGAGGAUGCAAGCGUUAUCCGGAAUCAUUGGGCGUAAAGCGUCCGUAGGUGGCAUUUCAAGUCUGCUGUCAAAGGUCGGGGCUUAACUCCGAACAGGCAGUGGAAACUGAGAAGCUAGAGUAUGGUAGGGGCAGAGGGAAUUCCUGGUGUAGCGGUGAAAUGCGUAGAGAUCAGGAAGAACACCGGUGGCGAAAGCGCUCUGCUAGGCCAUAACUGACACUCAGGGACGAAAGCUAGGGGAGCGAAUGGGAUUAGAUACCCCAGUAGUCA